rnacentral:rRNA from 1 species
AACGAACGCUGGCGGCAUGCCUAACACAUGCAAGUCGAACGAGACCUUCGGGUCUAGUGGCGCACGGGUGCGUAACGCGUGGGAACCUGCCCUUAGGUUCGGAAUAACUCCCCGAAAGGGGUGCUAAUACCGGAUAAUGUCUUCGGACCAAAGAUUUAUCGCCUUUGGAUGGGCCCGCGCUGGAUUAGCUAGUUGGUAGGGUAAAAGCCUACCAAGGCGACGAUCCAUAGCUGGUCUGAGAGGAUGAUCAGCCACACUGGGACUGAGACACGGCCCAGACUCCUACGGGAGGCAGCAGUGGGGAAUAUUGCACAAUGGGCGAAAGCCUGAUCCAGCAAUGCCGCGUGAGUGAUGAAGGCCUUAGGGUUGUAAAGCUCUUUUACCCGGGAUGAUAAUGACAGUACCGGGAGAAUAAGCUCCGGCUAACUCCGUG